rnacentral:rRNA from 1 species
CCGUGCCAGCAGCCGCGGUAAGACGGGGGAUGCAAGCGUUAUUCGGAAUUAUUGGGCGUAAAGCGUCUGUAGGUGGUGAGGAAAGUGUUUUGUUAAAGAUCAGGGCUCAACCCUGGGAAAGCAAGGCAAACUAUCUCACUUGAGUUCGGUAGGGGCAGAGAGAAUUCCCAGUGUAGCGGUGAAAUGCGUAGAUAUUGGGAGGAAGACCGGUGGCGAAGGCGUUCUGCUGGGCCGUAACUGACACUGAGAGACGAAAGCUAAGGGAGCAAAUAGGAUUAGAUACCCUAGUAGUCUUAGCUGUAAACGAUGCACACUAUGCUUUGCAAUUUGCAGAGCAAAAGCUAACGCGUUAAGUGUGCCGCCUGGGGAGUACAUUCGCAAGGAUGAAACUCAAAGGAAUUGACGGGGACCCGCACAAGCGGUGGAGCAUGUGGUUUAAUUCGAUGCAACGCGAAGAACCUUACCAAGAAUUGACAUGCUGCGAACGUUUACGAAAGUAAAAAGUCUAUUAACUUAGUUAAUAGCGCAGACACAGGUGGUGCAUGGUUGUCGUCAGCUCGUGCCGUGAGGUGUUGGGUUAAGUCCCGCAACGAGCGCAACCCUUGUCUUUAGUUAUAAUCUAGAGAGACUGCCGGUGAUAAACCGGAGGAAGGUGAGGAUGACGUCAAAUCAGCAUGCCCCUUACAUCUUGGGCGACUCACGUGCUACAAUGGUCGAGACAAAGAGAUGCUACCCUGCGAAGGCAAGCUAACCUCAAAAACUCGAUCUUAGU